rnacentral:rRNA from 1 species
UACGUAGGGCGCGAGCGUUGUCCGGAAUUAUUGGGCGUAAAGAGCUCGUAGGCGGCUUGUCACGUCGGAUGUGAAAGCCCGGGGCUUAACCCCGGGUCUGCAUUCGAUACGGGCAGGCUAGAGUGUGGUAGGGGAGAUCGGAAUUCCUGGUGUAGCGGUGAAAUGCGCAGAUAUCAGGAGGAACACCGGUGGCGAAGGCGGAUCUCUGGGCCAUUACUGACGCUGAGGAGCGAAAGCAUGGGGAGCGAACAGG